rnacentral:rRNA from 1 species
GGGGGACCUUCGGGCCUCUUGCCAUCGGAUGUGCCCAGAUGGGAUUAGCUAGUAGGUGGGGUAACGGCUCACCUAGGCGACGAUCCCUAGCUGGUCUGAGAGGAUGACCAGCCACACUGGAACUGAGACACGGUCCAGACUCCUACGGGAGGCAGCAGUGGGGAAUAUUGCACAAUGGGCGCAAGCCUGAUGCAGCCAUGCCGCGUGUAUGAAGAAGGCCUUCGGGUUGUAAAGUACUUUCAGCGGGGAGGAAGGGAGUAAAGUUAAUACCUUUGCUCAUUGACGUUACCCGCAGAAGAAGCACCGGCUAACUCCGUGCCAGCAGCCGCGGUAAUACGGAGGGUGCAAGCGUCAAUCGGGAGUGGUGGGCGUAAAGCGCACGCCUCGGUUUGUUAUGUCCGAUGUGCCAUCCCUCCUGCUACAAC